AUUCAGCUUUUAUGCUGAUUCAUCAGCUCACAGUGAAACGAGCUUGCAUGAGAGCAUCCCAGGACCACUGAACAUUCAGAGGGCUGGAGGCAGAGAAAAACUUCCCCUACUCAAGAAAAAGAAGCUAUUUUUGUCAAGUUAAAUGAGCCUGAACCUGCAGAGCUGAAUUGGCAGAUGAAUAUUGCUAAUUGGUGCAGUUUCUUCGGUGCAGGAAAGAGUUUCCAAUCAGACCGGCAAUUCAUUGGCCACAUGAAGACUCAGCCUGCCUGCACCCAGGUGAAAUAAACAGCAUUUUUGCUCACACAUAGCCUGUUUGGUGGUCUCUUCACAUGGAUGCGCAUGAAAUUUGGUGCUGUGACUCGGAUCCGGAGACCUCCCUUGGGAGAUAAAAUCCCCUGUCCUCCUGCUCUUUGCUCCGUGAAAAAGAUCCACCUACGACCUCAAGUCCUCAGACCCACCAGCCCAAGGAACAUCUCACCAAUUUUAAAUCAGCAAAAUGACAUGAAUGACUGAAAAAGCAUGUGGAGCACAAGACUCAAGAACUAAGUGAAAGGACUCACACUUCCUGAUUUCAAGUAAAGCUACAGCAAUCAAGACGUGGCAUUGAUGUAAGAAUAGACACAUCAAUGAAUGAAACAGAAUACAUCUUCCAGAAAUAAAUUCACACAAAUAUAGUCAAGAGGUUUUUUGUGUGCUAAAGUGUAUAUAAUAUUUACCAUUUUAACCAUUUUUAAGUGCACAGUUCAGAAGCAUUAAGAAUAAACAAUGUUGUAUAACCAUCACCAUUAUCCAGUUCCAGAAUUUUUCAUCACCUCACACAGAAACUCUGUACCUAUUAUCAACAAUAAAUUUUCAUUCCCCCCUUGCCCUCAGUCUCUGGUAACCACUAUUGAACUUUCUGUUUCUAUGAAUUUGCCCCUUCUCAGUGCCUAAUAUGAGUGGAAUAAUACAAUAUGGGUCCUUUGUGCCUAGUUUAUUUCACUUACUGUAAUGUUUUCAAGGUUCAUCCAUGUUAUAAUAUGGAUCAGAAUUUUAUUUCUUUUCAAGCAUGAAUAAUAGUCCAUGGUAUGUCUAUACCACAUUGUUUAUCCAUUCAUCAGCUGAUGGAUAUUUGGGGGUUGUUUCUAUCUUUUGGCUAUUGUAAAUGAUGAUGUUAUGAACAAUGGUGUAUAAUGUCUGUUUGAGCACUGCUUUGAAUUGUUUGGGGUAUAUACUUAGGAGCGGAAUUACUGGAUCAUAUGUCAAUUCUAUGUUUAAUUUUUGAGGAACUGUCGAGCUGUCUUUCACAGCAGCUGCAUAAUUUUACAUUCCCACCACAAUGCAUAAGAGCUUCAGUUUCUCAAAAUCUUUACCAACAUUUAUUUUUCUUUUUAAAAAUAUAUAAUAGCCAUACUAAUAGUAUAAAGUAAUAUUUCAUUGUGCAUUUGAUUUGCAUUUCCCUAAUGAUAACUGAUGUUGAGCAUCUUUUCACGUGCUUGUUGACCAUUUGUAUAUCUUCUUUUGAGAUAUGUCUAAUCAAGUCCUUUGUCCAUUUUUUAAUUGGGCUGGGUAUUAUUCUUCUGUUAUUGUUGAGUUGCAGGAGUUCUUUAUAUAUUCUGCAUAAAAGUUCCUUAUCAUAUAUUGAUUUUCAAAAUCUCUCUCCUAUUCUAUGGGUUGUUUUGAUUUUUUUUUUUUUUUUGCUUUCUCAACAG
ensembl:lncRNA LINC00836 long intergenic non-protein coding RNA 836